AGUGAACGCUGGCGGUAGGCCUGACACAUGCAAGUCGAACGGCAGCACAGUAAGAGCUUGCUCGUACGGGUGGCGAGUGGCGGACGGGUGAGGAAUAUAUCGGAAUCUACUUUUUCGUGGGGGAUAACGUAGGGAAACUUACGCUAAUACCGCAUACGACCUACGGGUGAAAGCAGGGGAUCUUCGGACCUUGCGCGAUUGAAUGAGCCGAUGUCGGAUUAGCUAGUUGGCGGGGUAAAGGCCCACCAAGGCGACGAUCCGUAGCUGGUCUGAGAGGAUGAUCAGCCACACUGGAACUGAGACACGGUCCAGACUCCUACGGGAGGCAGCAGUGGGGAAUAUUGGACAAUGGGCGCAAGCCUGAUCCAGCCAUACCGCGUGGGUGAAGAAGGCCUUCGGGUUGUAAAGCCCUUUUGUUGGGAAAGAAAAGCAGCAGGUUAAUACCCCGCUGUUCUGACGGUACCCAAAGAAUAAGCACCGGCUAACUUCGUG
rnacentral:rRNA from 1 species